GACGAACGCUGGCGGCGUGCCUAAUACAUGCAAGUAGAACGCAGUUGCGAACGGGUGAGUAACGCGUAGGCAACUGCCUCAUAGCGGGGGAUAACUAUUGGAAACGUUAGCAAAAACCGUAUACUGUGAGAUUGAUCAGCGUAGUAUUAGGUAGUUGGUGAGGAAAAGGCGCACCAAGGCGCCGAGAAAUAGCCGACUUGAGAGGGUGAUCGGCCAAACUGGGAAUGAGGAACGGCCCAGACUCCUACGGGAGGCAGGAGAAGGGAAUCUUCGGCAAUGGACGGAAGUCUGACCGAGCAACGCCUCGUGAGUGAAGAAGGUUUUCGGAGCGUAAAGCUCUGUUGUUAGAGAAGCGGUAACUAAACAGAAAGGGACGGCUAACUACGUGCCAGCAGCCGCGGUAAUAC
rnacentral:rRNA from 1 species